rnacentral:rRNA from 1 species
UCAGUUCAGACUGCAGGCUGCAACUCGCCUGCACGAAGUCGGAAUUGCUAGUAAUCGCAGGUCAGCAUACUACGGUGAAUACGUUCCCGGGCCUUGUACACACCGCCCGUCAAACCAUGAGAGUUGGCAACACCCGAAGUCGGUAGUCUAACCGCAAGGAGGACGCCGCCGAAGGUGGGGUUGAUGAUUAGGGUUAAGUCGUAACAAGGUAUC